AUACCUUUCUCGGCCUUUUGGCUAAGAUUAAGUGUAGUAUCUGUUCUUAUCAGUUUAAUAUCUGAUACGUGGGUCAAUGACUCACACGAUAUUAAAUUAAUUUUUUUAGGAGGAGAGUUCAUCACAGUAGCUUGCUAUUGGGGCUCCCGAGUGUCGCCCAAGUGUUGCACUACUGCUCGGGCUGGCGCACCCCAC
rnacentral:snRNA from 1 species